CAACGUCAAGAGUCACGUGACCAAACCACGCCUCGACACAGUGGCUCGAUACGUUUGCUUCAUGAGCUACAGCGCAUGUGUCGAAACCUCGGGUAGCAGAGGACCAUCACUGUCUGUGGCUGCUGUUGACCUUGUUUUUGGAGUAAAACACGGUGGAAGCUGAAUUAGUGAGGAUGACUCCUGCUCCUGUCAUCUCUAAGCUCCUCACACAUCUUUACCUGCACAUGAGGAAAAUCACUCCUGUAGAAUGCAGAUGUUCAGAGGGAGAUGAUGCCACAUCUGGUCCAGCUGAUGGAAGGUCUUGAAGUUCUCUGACUGGCCUCGACUGAAGAUGGUCGUCUCACUGGAUUUAAGGUUCAGAUGCUCAGUAACAAACUCCACCAAUGUGCCAACAGGGAAGCUUUAGGUUUAUUAAAUGUUGCUAUGAAGGUAUCGCUGUUUUUCUUUGUGAAUGCAAUGUGCUCCAACUGAAACUGGAAUUAGAACUUAGAAGUAAAUCCUUCCAUCUGAAAGGAUUUAGUUGCAUUAAUAACCUCAUAACAUUCUAAUUUUUAUUCCAGUCUUGGUUGGAAAUAGAAUCUCUGUAUUGAUUCAGGUAAAAACUGAACUUCACAGCAUGGAGCAAAACAACCAGAUGAAAACUGUGAUGGUGUUGGAUUGUCAGACCGUAAUGUUGCAGCUCAAAGCAGCUUUUCUAGCUCAGUUCAUUCUGACAUUCAGCUAUGAAUCAACACAGCAGAUGGUGAUCCAUGCUGUGGAAGUCUCACAUCUCCUGAUUUAAUGGAGCUGCUUUGCACUUUUUACACUGUUUAUUCACCAACACUUUAUUUAAUAAAAGUUCAUCUAGUUUUUAUGAGGAAUGUGGUGUUUUAAUUUCUCUGUGAAUAACUGCAGUCUAAUGCAACAGCUGGAGUUGUAACAUCUGUCCUGAUAUUGAUCAUGAAGUAUUGAUCAGAAUACUUAUGGUCAGCAGUCAUCUCUGAAGUUUUACAUUAAAAUCUUUACCUGUGUUGUGAUCUUUGGUAAGAAGCAGGAACUUUAGCGUUGCCAUGGAUACAUGAGUCUUAAAUUCAGUCCAUGUUUCCAUUUUGGGAAAUGCAGUCCAGCAGAUGAGUUUGUUUUUACUGCCAGCUACCAUUCAGUCUGAGAUAUUAAGAAUAAAUAAAUGUGCAUAAUGUGGAAAUGAACAGAUUUUAUUUUUAUUUAUUCCUACAAGUGCUGCAGGUAAAGUUCCAGAAUGUGGAGGAAUUUAGUCUCACAAUCACAGACAAUAAAUAUUAUCUGAAAGUUGGGUUAUUGUUUAUCAGCACAAUACAAAAAUAUUAAUGUUAGAAAUAUUCCAGUUAAGACUCUAGAAUAUCAUGAUUUAUGUAAAUUUACCUCAAUAAUAUGAAUGUUCAGGUUAAGAUUGUACAGUGAUAUUUAUUAUGUAAGUUUAGCUGAUUAAAGUUUAUGACUCUGCACUACAAUAUUAUUUAUUAUUUAAAUUUGCAUCAUUAUUAUAAUAUUUAGGGUCAGACCCUACAGUGUUGAGAUUAAGAAAUCAAAUAUUCUAUAAAAUGUAAAUACACUGAACUCAUUUGGAUAUAUUGAAGUGACUACAAUAUUAUUUGACACAAAUCUAUCUAAAUCAAAAUUUUUAUAAUUUUUACUCCAAACAUUUACUGGACUGAUUUAAAUAUUAAAUCACUCCUUUCUAAUCCUCUGCUGUACGUUCAAACCUGAGGCCUUAAAUAGAAACACACAAGUAUCUGAUUGAAGGAACUUCUGCAGAGUCCUGGUUCCAGAACAUGAUGAUAGAAUUAUAGACAAACUUUAACAAAAGCUGCCUGAGAGUUUACAGGUUUUUAUGUUAGAUUUCUUCAGUAAUUUAAUGAGAGUUAUCAGCAAAAAUCAAGGGUUCAUUUGAUGAAUUUCAUUUCCUAAAACAUCCAGAAUUGGAGCUCAUAUCUUUGGCAGCUGUAAAGUUUCUGCUCCUUCAAGGUUCACAACACAAUGAAUGAAUUCCUAAAACACUCUCAAUGCUGGAGAGCGUUUGUGAUGCUGAAGCAGUGACCAGUUUUUCUGUUUCUUCUCUGGAGAUGCACAAUGAGGGACGUCUGCAGCGACUGAGAAAGAGUCUCACCACAUCCUGACAUGAGGAAAAAGACUUUAUUGAAGACUACAAUGAGAAAAAACUAUCAUACAGCAGACGGCUGCAUUCAAGGCUACAGGAGGAGUCCUACGAGGACGAGCCGGUCCACCUGAUGGAGGCCAGUCGCUGUGGUUCAAAGCCAACACCGACUACGUGGACUUCUACUGGACCACACGGAGGCCUUCAAACCGGACCAACAAGUUCAGCGACUCCCCGACUCGUGGGUCUGAGGACGCCGCCGAGCCUCGGUCCAGCCGGCCUCCUGUCUGUGGGUGUUUGAGUGCUGAGAGGUUUGUGGAUGCAUGUGAAUGUUCUGUGUUGAAACAGCAGCUUUGGACUCAGUAACGCCAGGAAAAACCAAGAGCUCCUUUAUUUGUGACUUCCACUAAAAAAACUGUUGAAAAUAAGUUUGCCAGGGUUAGCAACACACCAUGCUAUGACGUUUUUACAAUGAUGGUUCUACUAUGGAACCAGUUUGACAUGUUCAGGCGUUCUUUGUGUGAAAACUCAGAGAUUUCAGGGAUCAGAAGGUGGUUUUCAAAUUUCUUUGUUAACUUUCUACUUCAACUUUAAACUAAAUUUCCUUCACUAAGCCAGCCCUCUGGACUUCCAGUAAGCUGUGUUCCUAUUGGCUGUCCAGGUGGCUGCUUGGUGUUAUCAGGAACACCUGAGCAGCUCAGUGUCUUCCUGCUUUAUGUGGCUGCAGCCAAACAUUUCCUCUGUUUCUCUUCACCACUGAAACGGGUUU